UACGUAGGGUGCAAGCGUUAAUCGGAAUUACUGGGCGUAAAGCGUGCGCAGGCGGUUAUAUAAGACAGAUGUGAAAUCCCCGGGCUCAACCUGGGAACUGCAUUUGUGACUGUAUAGCUAGAGUACGGUAGAGGGGGAUGGAAUUCCGCGUGUAGCAGUGAAAUGCGUAGAUAUGCGGAGGAACACCGAUGGCGAAGGCAAUCCCCUGGACCUGUACUGACGCUCAGGUGCGAAAGCGUGGGGAGCAAACAGG
rnacentral:rRNA from 1 species